GGUGGCUCAGUGUUAGAGCACUUGCCUUGCAUGCAUGAGGCCCUGGGUUCGAUUCCUCAGUACCA
rnacentral:tRNA from 1 species